rnacentral:snoRNA from 1 species
UGCCAUGAUGUCGUAAUUUGCGUCUGACUCUGUGCUCAGUGACAGUGCCUGCUGUCAGUGUACUGGUACAGAUGGUUGACGAACAAUUAGCACUGAGCA